AUGUGAACUUCCCAGAGUAGUCUACCAUCAUCAUGGAACAACUCCAAGAAACAAAAAAAGAUCAAAGAGCACAACGGAAAGCAUUAGCAUCUGGGAGCAGCGCCGUUUUCUUAUUGGAUCACCAACACUACUUGUGCAUGUUGUUAACCUCAUGAAGCAGUGAUCUUCCUUGUAUCUUUUGUGAUAUCUGAGUUUUUCAUUGCCAGAAGUGCACAGCUUGUAUCUUUUCACCAACACUACCUGUGCAUGUUGUUAAACUCAUGAAGUAGUGAUCUUCCUUGUAUCUUUUGUGAGAUCUGAGUUUUUUGUUGCCAGAAGUGCACAGCAUGUACCUUUUCAUUUUGUUGCCAGAAGUGCACAGCGUGUAUCUUUUCACCAACACUACCGGUGCAUGUUGUUAACCUCAUAAAGUAGUGAUCUUCCUUGUAUCUCUCGUGAGUUUUUUGUUGCCAGAAAGUGCACAGCAUGUAUGCUGCGUGGUGCCUGCU
rnacentral:lncRNA from 1 species